GCGGCGUGCCUAACACAUGCAAGUCGAACGGAGUUUAUGAAGUUUUCGGACGGAUUAAACUUAGUGGCGGACGGGUGAGUAACGCGUGGGUAACCUGCCUCAUACAGGGGGAUAACAGUUGGAAACGGCUGCUAAAACCGCAUAACAUUGCGACACCGCAUGGUGAUGCAAUUAAAUAUUUAUAGGUAUGAGAUGGGCCCGCGUCUGAUUAGCUAGUUGGUGAGGUAAUGGCCCACCAAGGCGACGAUCAGUAGCCGGCUUGAGAGAGUGACCGGCCACAUUGGGACUGAGACACGGCCCAAACUCCUACGGGAGGCAGCAGUGGGGAAUAUUGCACAAUGGGGGAAACCCUGAUGCAGCGACGCCGCGUGAGUGA
rnacentral:rRNA from 1 species